CCACACUUUCGUUCUCAGACAAGUCCAAGCCCACUUCAGGCCCAGGGAAGUGCUACCUCAUUCUUUUACUUUGAGCAAAGAGGGCGGCUGGCGCCUUGUUCCGUGCUGAGGAUUCAGCUCACUCAAGAUGUCUGAUGCCCUCGUGAAAGCUUCUGGCUGUCAGCGCUCAUAGACCAUCUGCUUGGAUUGCCCUGAACCCCUCCUUCAGGGCACAGAACCUGGCAAUAAUGUGUCCCAUUUGGCAGCCUGUGUGACAUCUCUUAUUGUAUUAGGUGACUCAAAUAAUGAUCAUGCCUGUUGACACUUAGAGCUUCCGAAGGGAAUUCUGAGUAGCAAUGGAAAGGCGAAGCAGAAGUCAAGGACACUUGUGCCAACACCACCCGUAUAGCUGGUCAUUAAGCCAUUGCUGAAAAUAGCAAUAAAACAGGUUCUGUGGAUCCAACUGUGGAUUGAAUCUAGUGUGGCAAAUAGGAAACCCAGAGUGAGGGGUUUGGUUUCCAGAUAAAUAAAUGAUAUAACUCU
rnacentral:lncRNA from 1 species